GAACAAACUGCCGCGGUGGCGGGAGCUAGGCUCGCGUGGCUGGAGGCGGGUCAUCCUUCUCUUCGCAGCUCCCGCAAACCCAUGGUCCCCUGGAGCCACAGUCUUCAGCGCUCUCAGCCGCUGGGAGUCAAGGCUUACACUGGCGCAGCUGCAGCUAGUGGCCGCGGCUACGGACCUCCUCCCCUCAUCUCCCCAAGGCGUCACCCAGGCCACCCGGGUAGAUGUGCCGUCGGAUCGCGAGUGAGCCAAGGCGGACAAGGCCUUCCUAGAGUUCCAGGAGUUUCCAGCAGGCUGGAUGGGAGAGUGAUCUGGAGGAGCAAACUUGGCGCCGGAAGAUCCGACUCAGAGAGUUUUCUAGGCCAAGAUUCCAGUGGAUGGAGGAAGAGAAGGCUUCAUAGGAACCAGUGAAGCUGUUCCUACUCUCUCUUUCUUCAAAUCUCAACUCAGAGCCAAGCUCCUUCAGGAAGCCUGAGUCAUCCUGAUCCCCUUCCAUCUCAAAACUGCGGACUGCCUCUGGUGGGGGCUGUUUUCCUCAAUUUCAGAUAUGUGGUUUCCAAAACAAUUUACCUCUACUGGAACAAGGAAAUAAACAAAGAGAAAGGAUGAUAUGGAAUCCAGGAAACAGAAGAUGCUACACAGGACAGAGAUGAAGGAAUGGUAACGAGAAACUCCCGAGCAACAUCUGCACAGCAGACAUGGAGAACCACCAGUCCAGACUGGAGCCAGAGGACAGAGAAGUGUGGGAGAGCUUCCCCCAGGAGGGCAGACAUGCAGCAAAAAACAGUGAUGAAUUUUCUCAUACAUUUGGUCUUGUGAAAAUUGUAAUAUUGGAAAGAAAGGGGGAGAUUUAGCAGUAGAUAGAAAAUGAGUAAAUGAAAACAAAAGACAUACUGGAAAAAUUAAAACAUGGAACACACAAAAGUGAGCAUUGUAUACUCGUGGUUUAUCAGAUAACACAGUGUAUACAGUAUACAAAUUAAUUGAAUAAAUGUUAUUAUAAAUACGAA